CCUACGGGAGGCUGCAGUGGGGAAUAUUGCGCAAUGGGCGAAAGCCUGACGCAGCGACGCCGCGUGAGGGAUGACGGUCUUCGGAUCGUUAACCUCUGUCAGCAGGGAAGAACGGUCACUGUGCUAAUCAGCAGUGAAUUGACGGUACCUGCAAAGGAAGCACCGGCUAACUCCGUGCCAGCAGCCGCGGUAAUACGGAGGGGGCGAGCGUUAAUCGGAAUUACUGGGCGUAAAGCGCUCGUAGGCGGUAUGUCAAGUCAAGGGUGAAAUCCCCGGGCUCAACGUGGGAACUGCCUUUGAAACUGGCAAACUGGAGUGUGUGAGAGGAUAGUGGAAUUCGAGGUGUAGGAGUGAAAUCCGUAGAUAUCUGGAGGAACAUCAGUGGCGAAGGCGACUAUCUGGCACAUAACUGACGCUGAGGAGCGAAAGCGUGGGUAGCAAACAGGAUUAGAUACCCUUGUAGUC
rnacentral:rRNA from 1 species